GGGUCACUAGCUCAACUGGUAGAGCAACGCCCUCUUAAGGCGUGGGUUCAGGGUUCGAGUCCCUGGUGACUCACAA
rnacentral:tRNA from 2 species